CGAUCUCAACUCAUACGUGACUACCCCCUGAAUUUAAGCAUAUUAAUAAGGGGAGGAAAAGAAACUAACGAGGAUUCCCUUAGUAGCGGCGAGCGAAACGGGAUUAGCCCAGCACUAAGCCCAAUUAGCAAUUUUUGUUAAUUGGGGAUGCAGUGUAUGGAGAGUUCAUUAGCUUAUUGCAUAUAGAUAGUAGAUUCAAGUCCAUCUUGAAUGGGGCCACUUUAUCCCAUAGAGGGUGCCAGGCCCGUAGCAAUUACUAUCUGCAAUUUGCGAACGUUUUCUCCUAAGAGUCGUGUUGCUUGAUAGUGCAGCACAAAGUGGGUGGUAAACUCCAUCUAAGGCUAAAUAUAACCACGAGACCGAUAGAGAACAAGUACCGUGAGGGAAAGUUGAAAAGAACUCUGAAUAGAGAGUUAAAGAGUACGUGAAACCGUAUAGGGGUUAAGCCCGUUGAAUCUAAUCUAUCCGAUGGAUGAAAUUCAAUAUUAAACUUAAUCGUUUAGUAUGCACUUUUCAUCUAGUAGGACACUGCAAUCCGUUAGAUUAAAUAUAUGCUUUUUUGCUAUAUUUGAGUCUAUCUCUAGAAUUCGUAAUGGGUUGUUUAUCAUAAAUAUCAUUAUGUGUUAUUUUGAUAAAUCCAUAAUAGAAUUCUGAUAGUAUUCGACUGACGGAUUUAAAACAAUCAUAUAACAUGCAUAUGUAAUUAUAUAUAAUUUAUAUGUAUUUGAUUGGCAGUGCACUCAAAGAUUUAGAUACCUUCGGGGCCCGUCUUGAAACACGGACCAAGGAGUCUAGCAUGUAUGCAAGUUAUUGGGAUUUAUUGUCAAACUUUUGUUAGACAAUAGAGUAUUUUGAAAUAAAACCCAAGAGCGAAAUUAACGUGACUGUUAAUGGGAUUAUAUUUAUCCAUUAUAUAUUACAUAUAUGGAUAAAUUUCCAUCCCGGGGCGAUUUAUAAUUAAAAUUGCAAAAUUUUAUGAAAUCGUACCUUGAGCAUACAUGGUAGGACCCGAAAGAUGGUGAACUAUGCCUGAUCAGGUUGAAGUCAGGGGAAACCCUGAUGGAGGACCGAAGCAGUUCUGACGUGCAAAUCGAUUGUCAGAAUUGGGUAUAGGGGCGAAAGACCAAUCGAACCAUCUAGUAGCUGGUUCCCUCCGAAGUUUCCCUCAGGAUAGCUGGUGCACAUUAUAUAAGAGUAAUCUUAUCCGGUAAAGCGAAUGAUUAGAGGCUAUUGGGGACGAAACGACCUCAACCUAUUCUCAAACUUUAAAUGGGUAAGACCUCGACUUUCUUGAUUGAAGUCAUACUUUGAGGUUAAGAUAAAAGUUGUACUUAGUGGGCCACUUUUGGUAAGCAGAACUGGCGCUGUGGGAUGAACCAAACGCUAUGUUACGGCGCCCAAAUGUUAAUACGACUCAUGUCAGAUACCAUGAAAGGUGUUGGUUGUUUAAGACAGCAGGACGGUGGACAUGGAAGUUGUAAACCGCUAAGGAGUGUGUAACAACUCACCUGCCGAAACAACUAGCCCUUAAAAUGGAUGGCGCUCAAGUCGUCUGCCUAUACAUAGCCGUUACAAUAGAUGUUAUAUAUGAGCAAUUGUAUAUAAUAUGAAAUUGUAAUGAGUAGGAGGGUACAAUGGUGUGCUUUGAAGUGUUGGACGUAAGUCCACAUGGAGCCGCCAUUGGCACAGAUCUUGGUGGUAGUAGCAAAUAAUCGAAUGAGAUCUUGGAUGACUGAAGUGGAGAAGGGUUCCGUGUGAACAGUGGUUGAUCACGGGUUAGUCGGUCCUAAGCUCUAGGCGAAAGCUGAACAUAUAAAAAAAUAUAAAUUUUUGGUUUAUAUUUUUUGAGCGAAAGGGAAUACGGUUCCAAUUCCGUAACCUAUUGAGUAUACGUUUAUUGUGGGUCCUAUAGAUAUAGAGUAAUAUCUAUAUUCUAUAGGUUUAAAGCUCAUCCUGGCAACAGAAGCUACCAUAGAGAAGCCGUCGAAGCAUACCGAAAGAGUUAUCUUUUCUGUUUCAUAACUGUAUUACCAUGGAAGUCUUUCGAAGAGAGAUAUGGUAAAUGAGUUAGAAGAGCAUGGCGUUUAUUGCUGUGUCGGGUAUGUCAUUCCUCGGACCUUGAAAAUCUAUGGUAGGGCCACGUAAACAUUCUCAAUAGACCGUACCAAUAUCCGCAGCAGGUCUCCAAGGUUAAGAGUCUCUAGUCGAUAGAAUAAUGUAGGUAAGGGAAGUCGGCAAAUUAGAUCCGUAACUUCGGGAUAAGGAUUGGCUCUGAAGAUUGAGAUGUGUCGGGCUUGUUUGGGAAGUAUGAGUAAAUGUGUUGGCUGAAGUAUCUGAUUAGUUGUCUUAACGGACGGUGAAAAGAUAUGAUUAGGCCAGCACGAAGUACGGAACACUCAAGCUAUGCUAUAUACGCUAAAAAAAAUGUUGGUAAAACAACAUUUUUGUAUAUAGAUUUACAACGACCAUCAACAAACAAUCAAUUCAGAACUGGCACGGA